GUGGGGAAUAUUGCACAAUGGGCGAAAGCCUGAUGCAGCAACGCCGCGUGAGGGAUGAAGGCCUUCGGGUUGUAAACCUCUUUUAGCAGGGAAGAAGCGAAAGUGACGGUACCUGCAGAAAAAGCACCGGCUAACUACGUGCCAGCAGCCGCGGUAAUACGUAGGGUGCAAGCGUUGUCCGGAAUUAUUGGGCGUAAAGAGCUCGUAGGCGGUUUGUCGCGUCUGCUGUGAAAAUCCGAGGCUCAACCUCGGACUUGCAGUGGGUACGGGCAGACUAGAGUGCAGUAGGGGAGAAGGGAAUUCCUGGUGUAGCGGUGGAAUGCGCAGAUAUCAGGAGGAACACCGAUGGCGAAGGCACUUCUCUGGGCUGUAACUGACGCUGAGGAGCGAAAGCGUGGGGAGCGAACAGA
rnacentral:rRNA from 1 species